rnacentral:rRNA from 1 species
UACGAAGGGGGCUAGCGUUGUUCGGAAUCACUGGGCGUAAAGCGCACGUAGGCGGAUCCUUAAGUCAGGGGUGAAAUCCCGAGGCUCAACCUCGGAACUGCAUUUGAUACUGGGGAUCUUGAGUCCGGGAGAGGUGAGUGGAAUUGCGAGUGUAGAGGUGAAAUUCGUAGAUAUUCGCAAGAACACCAGUGGCGAAGGCGGCUCACUGGCACGGUACUGACGCUGAGGUGCGAAAGCGUGGGGGGCAAACAGG